GAUGAACGCUAGCGGAAGGCAUAAUACAUGCAAGUCGAACGGAUGUAGCAAUACAUUAGUGGCGCACGGGUGCGUAACGCGUAUGCAACCUACCUUCAUCAGGGGGAUAACUACCCGAAAGGGUGGCUAACACCGCAUAAUACUAUUGAGUGGCAUCACUUGAUAUUUAAAUCUGAGGAGGAUGAAGAUGGGCAUGCGUCUGAUUAGCUAGUUGGUGUGGUAACGGCGCACCAAGGCGACGAUCAGUAGGGGAACUGAGAGGUUGGUCCCCCAAUGUGGCACUUAGAUACGGGCCAAACUCCUACGGGAGGCAGCAGUAGGGAAUAUUGGUCAAUGGUGUGACCACUGAACCAGCCAUUCCGCGUGCAGGAAGAAGGGUCUCUGACUUGUAAACUGCUUUAGCAAGGGAAGAAAAAGCUCAUGCGUGAGAAAUUGACGGUACCUUGAGAAUAAGCACCGGCUAACUACGUGCCAGCCGCCGCUGUAACAC
rnacentral:rRNA from 1 species